UCAAACUUGGUCAUUUAGAGGAAGUAAAAGUCGUAACAAGGUUUCCGUAGGUGAACCUGCGGAAGGAUCAUUAUUGAAAGGUUUUGGAGAAUUACUGUUGCUGGCCUUUGGCAUGUGCACGUAUUCUCUAAUCUAUUCAUCCACCUGUGCACUUUUUGUAGAAAAGGCCCCUUUGGAUUAGUCAAUGAUUUUGAAGGAGGGGAAUUUCUAUGUUUUUACACAAACGAGUUUAGCAUGUUUCAGAAUGUUGUUUAUUACAUUGGGACUUAGUUGGCCCUUUGAAAACUUUGUACAACUUUCAGCAACGGAUCUCUUGGCUCUCCCAUCGAUGAAGAACGCAGC
rnacentral:misc_RNA from 1 species